CCCGCGGUACCUCCCGCUCCCGUUCCUCCUUCGGGCCGGCCUUCCGGGAUGCCCAGACCGGUUCCGGAGUGACGGUGCUCGCUCUCUCCCUCUCUACCCCGUGCUCCCAGGCCCCCCCACACGCCAUUUACAGGCUGGUGGCUUGUGGUGGACCUUCUCCGCCCUCACCCCGCCCCGUCACCGAGAGCGCGCGCCCGGGAACCAAUCAGCAGCCGCCUUAGGUGACCAUGUCUGAGUCUGGGCACAGUCAGCCUGGGCUCUACGGGAUAGAGCGGCGGCGACGGUGGAAGGAGCCUGGCUCCGGCGGCCCCCAGAACCUCUCUGGGCCUGGCGGUCGGGAGAGGGACUACAUCGCACCGUGGGAAAGAGAGAGACGGGAUGGCAGCGAAGAGACAAGCACGUCGGUCAUGCAGAAAACCCCCAUCAUCCUCUCCAAGCCUCCAGCAGAGCGGUCAAAGCAGCCACCACCUCCUACAGCGCCCGCGGCCCCGCCUGCCCCAAGCCCUCUGGAGAAGCCCAUCGUCCUCAUGAAACCCCGGGAGGAGGGCAAAGGGCCUGCGGCCACCACCACUGCCUCAACCCCCGAGGGCUCCGCCCCCCCACCUCCCGCCGCCCCUGCGCCACCCAAGGGGGAGAAGGAGGGGCAGAGACCCACACAGCCUGUGUACCAGAUCCAGAACCGGGGCAUGGGCCCUGCCGCGCCGGCAGCCAUGGAUCCUGUCGUGGGCCAGGCCAAACUGCUGCCCCCGGAGCGCAUGAAGCACAGCAUCAAGUUGGUGGAUGACCAGAUGAACUGGUGCGACAGUGCUAUUGAGUACCUGUUGGAUCAGACUGAUGUGUUGGUGGUCGGCGUCCUGGGCCUCCAGGGGACAGGCAAGUCCAUGGUCAUGUCGUUGUUGUCAGCCAACACUCCCGAGGAGGACCAGAGGGCGUAUGUUUUCCGGGCCCAGAGCGCCGAAAUGAAGGAACGAGGGGGCAACCAGACCAGUGGCAUCGACUUCUUUAUUACCCAAGAGCGGAUUGUGUUCCUGGACACACAGCCCAUCCUGAGCCCCUCCAUCUUGGACCACCUCAUCAACAACGACCGCAAGCUGCCUCCAGAGUACAACCUGCCGCACACCUACGUGGAGAUGCAGUCACUCCAGAUUGCAGCCUUCCUCUUCACGGUCUGCCACGUGGUGAUUGUCGUCCAGGACUGGUUCACGGACCUCAGUCUGUACAGGUUCCUCCAGACAGCAGAGAUGGUGAAGCCCUCCACCCCGUCCCCCAGCCACGAGUCCAGCAGCUCCUCAGGCUCUGAUGAAGGCACUGAAUACUACCCCCACCUGGUCUUCCUGCAGAACAAAGCUCGUCGAGAGGACUUCUGUCCCCGAAAGCUGCGGCAGAUGCACCUGAUGAUCGACCAGCUCAUGGCCCACUCCCACCUGCGCUACAAGGGUACUCUGUCCAUGUUACAGUGCAACGUCUUCCCUGGGCUCCCGCCCGACUUCCUGGACUCUGAGGUCAACUUGUUCCUGGUGCCCUUCAUGGACAGCGAGGCGGAGAGUGAGACCCCCCCACGAGCGGGUCCUGGUUCCAGCCCGCUCUUCUCCCUGCUCCCUGGGUACCGUGGCCACCCCAGUUUCCAGUCCUUGGUGAGCAAGCUCCGGAGCCAGGUGAUGUCCAUGGCCCGGCCACAGCUGUCACACACCAUCCUCACUGAGAAGAACUGGUUCCACUACGCUGCCCGGAUCUGGGACGGUGUGAAAAAGUCCUCUGCCCUGGCGGAGUACAGCCGCCUGCUGGCCUGAGGCCGAGGGGGGAUGUCAUGCAGGGAACCCCUCCUGGGUCCCCAGUGGAUGGCGAAGGAUCACAUACGUUCUCCCCGCUAGUGGGGUGGAGAGUGGCAGCAGGCCUGAUGGACGAGGGACCACGACUUCCUCACCCGGAGAUGUGUCCAGUGCCAGGCCCCCCACCCUCAGUAGAGUGUUGGUCGGGGUGACUGAGGUCCCACCCCCAACCUGGGACGGGGAAGCCCAUCCUCAGUCCCCCACAGGGUCGGGUGGUGGGCGGAGCCAGAGUGGUCACCAGGAAGGCCAGGCUCCAUCUUUACCUCCCUCUGCAGGGACGAGAGCAACGGGUCCCUCUUCCCUGACGCCAAGCCCUUUCCUGUCAGGAUCUCGCAGGUCAGCCGGGCUUGGUUGGCCGUGAAGCGCUCUGACGUCACCAUGAUGAUGAUGAAGUCGUAAUGGUCCAGCAGCGCCCACUGGAGGCUGAGUUCGGGUCCUCAUCUCCCAGCCCCCAGAUGGCGUUGACAAAGGUCACCUUGCCUGGGAAUGCCAAUGUCCGGCCUGACAUUCUCCAGCAAAUGAAGUGUGGCCUGCAACGUGGCGGCUACUGCUGGCAGGCUCCCCGCCUCAAAGGCCUCCUUGAGAGCCCCAGUGUCCCUCAGCAGCUCCGAUACCCUGGCCUGGCUGAGGCUCUGUUGGAAGACUGCCUGCCAUGGGCUGCCUGGCCCUGGUUCUCCAUCUCCAGGACCUGAUGACCAUUGACAGGACAGCCUGCACCAGAGCCAGGACGUGGGCCAGCUCCCGCGGACCCUUCUGCCGUGUAAACCACCCACUCCUUGCACAAUUGAGCACCCUCUCACGGUGUGUAAAGACCCCAGCGGAUGCCACAGUUCUAGCACCAGGAAGACAGAGCCGUGGGCCUGGGGCAUUUGUGGAAGCAUUGCCCACCCUCGCUGCCUGGCCUCUGAGCUCCUGCAUCUGCUCGGGAACUGCAGUGCAUACCUACGCCAGUCCCGUCCCGCCUCUGGGCCUCAGAGUCCUCCCUGAAGGGUCCAUGUGAACCCCAGUAGUCCUGGCAGAGCCGAUGCGGGUCCGGAAAGAGAGGAGUCCUCCUGCAAAGCACAGAGCUCUUCAGCCAGGAGCACCGGCACCCCGUUUAAUCCUCCAGCUCUCGAGAAUGUACUUGAGGAGGAGGCCAAGCUUCCUGCGGGCCGAGAGCGGGGCUUCCUCGCUGACUCCUUCCCCGGACGCCCGCUUUUCCACUCCAUUGUCACCCGCCGCCUCCAAGCUGACCUCCG